AUCAAUUUUGUGACGUGAGCCACGUGACGAUCAUUUUCCGAUCCCAUUCCCACUAGUUAUCCACAGUGCAUUAUUGGACUGAACCGGACUAAUUUUAGCCGCACGCUGGCUCGUGAGUACAAUAUCUUAUGGAUUCAGACCCAUUUCAAUGACAAUCUCAAAACAAAUUAAAGAAAACAUUAGUCACAGAAGGAUUUUUUGUUUCUUUAGGUAGAUCAGGAUGCAAAACUUGUUCAUAAGAACAAUUUAAGAAUUAGCAAAACACUUCACAUCAGCAAUCAACUGAUAUACAAUUUUAUUACAUUUGAUCGCAUGAUCAGAAAGCUAUAAAGGAAAACAAAUUAAACAAACACACACACUCCCCAAGACUUUAUUUUAAGAGUAUAUACAAAACAUUUUUACCAAUAUCAUUAGCAAACGCGUGUGUAGGUACCACAGUUUUGUUUUGGCUUACUGCCGGUUUCAUCGGGAAGACAGCUUGCGUACUUUGGAGGUCGGUCACAGUCGGAAACUGCAGGCUUAUUACCGUUGUUAGUGCCCUCAGUGACACUCUGAUAGUCAGCAAGCAUCCUGCUUAUUUCCGAAUUGAAGAGCAGCUCUGGCUCCUCCAUGCGGCCCUGGUAAUCCAGGGCGGUGCGGGUACCGUUGUCAAGCUGGAUUGAAGAAGCAGUCGCUCCCCAACGAGUCGUGUGCGACGAGAAUA